rnacentral:snRNA from 1 species
AUUGUUUUGCAGAGGCAAUUUCACAGUCUAUGAUGUUCUUCUGAGAUAUGAUUAUUGCUUUUGAAAACUUUACUCAAUACCCGACUUGGAAGACUUGAAAUAUAUUCGGCUGUUUCAGUUUUUAAGAAUGUCUCUGUUUCAAACAAUUUCUGCAACUGUGUACAUG